GGCCUCGAUGGUGUAGUGGUAACACGCGUCCCCGGUAUGGAUGGAAACACGGGUUCAACUCUCGUACGAGGUCG